rnacentral:rRNA from 1 species
CCUACGGGAGGCAGCAGUGAGGAAUAUUGGUCAAUGGCCGUAAGGCUGAAGCAGCCAAGCCGCGUGAAGGAAGGAGGAUCUAUGGUUUGUAAACUCCUUUUAUAGGGGAGUAAAGGUAACAACGUGUGGAUAUUUGCAUGUAGACUAUGAAUAAGCAUCGGCCAACUACGUGCCAGCAGCCGCGGUAAUACGGAGGAUGCGAGAGUUAUCCGGAUUUAUUGGGAUUAAAGGGUGCGUAGGUUGUUUUUUAAGUCAGCUGUGAAAGUUUGUGGCUCAACCAUAAAAUUGCCGUUGAUACUGGGAGACUUGAGUGUGUUAGAGGUAAGCGGAAUGCGUGGUGUAGCGGUGAAAUGCAUAGAUAUCACGCAGAACUCCGGUGGCGAAGGCAGCUUCCUGGGCCUUAACUGACACUGAAGCACGAAAGCGUGGGGAGCGAACAGGAUUAGAUACCCUUGUAGUC